rnacentral:piRNA from 1 species
GGAUGUCUUUCAUUCUGCAUAAUGUU